rnacentral:tRNA from 1 species
AGGGAUAUAUCUCAGCAGCAAAGUGCCUGCCUGGCAAGUACCAGGUCCUGAGUUCGAUUCCCAGUACCCCCA